GACGAACGCUGGCGACGUGCCUAAUACAUGCAAGUCGAACGCUUCUUUCCUCCCGAGUGCUUGCACUCAAUUGGAAAGAGGAGUGGCGGACGGGUGAGUAACACGUGGGUAACCUACCCAUCAGAGGGGGAUAACACUUGGAAACAGGUGCUAAUACCGCAUAACAGUUUAUGCCGCAUGGCAUAAGAGUGAAAGGCGCUUUCGGGUGUCGCUGAUGGAUGGACCCGCGGUGCAUUAGCUAGUUGGUGAGGUAACGGCUCACCAAGGCCACGAUGCAUAGCCGACCUGAGAGGGUGAUCGGCCACACUGGGACUGAGACACGGCCCAGACUCCUACGGGAGGCAGCAGUAGGGAAUCUUCGGCAAUGGACGAAAGUCUGACCGAGCAACGCCGCGUGAGUGAAGAAGGUUUUCGGAUCGUAAAACUCUGUUGUUAGAGAAGAACAAGGACGUUAGUAACUGAACGUCCCCUGACGGUAUCUAACCAGAAAGCCACGGCUAACUACGUG
rnacentral:rRNA from 1 species